UUGCACUCUGUGGAUUCUUAGUGGCGGACGGGUGAGUAACGCGUGGGGAACCUGCCUUAUAAAGGGGGAUAACAGGGAGAAAUGCCUGCUAAUACCGCAUAAGCUUAGGAGAGCGCAUGCUCUGAUAAGGAAAGGCGAAAGCCGAUAUAAGAUGGCCCCGCGUCUGAUUAGCUAGUUGGAGAGGUAACGGCUCACCAAGGCGACGAUCAGUAGCCGGCUUGAGAGAGUGGACGGCCACAUUGGGACUGAGACACGGCCCAGACUCC
rnacentral:rRNA from 1 species